rnacentral:rRNA from 1 species
GAUGAACGCUGGCGGCGUGCCUAAUACAUGCAAGUCGAGCGAACAGACGAGGAGCUUGCUCCUCUGACGUUAGCGGCGGACGGGUGAGUAACACGUGGAUAACCUACCUAUAAGACUGGGAUAACUUCGGGAAACCGGAGCUAAUACCGGAUAAUAUAUUGAACCGCAUGGUUCAAUAGUGAAAGACGGUUUUGCUGUCACUUAUAGAUGGAUCCGCGCCGCAUUAGCUAGUUGGUAAGGUAACGGCUUACCAAGGCGACGAUGCGUAGCCGACCUGAGAGGGUGAUCGGCCACACUGGAACUGAGACACGGUCCAGACUCCUACGGGGGGCAGCAGUAGGGAAUCAUCCGCGAUGGGCGAAAGCCUGACGGAGCAACGCCGCGUGAGUGAUGAAGGUCUUCGGAUCGUAAAACUCUGUUAUUAGGGAAGAACAAAUGUGUAAGUAACUAUGCACGUCUUGACGGUACCUAAUCAGAAAGCCACGGCUAACUACGUG